rnacentral:rRNA from 1 species
GAUGAACGCUGGCGGCGUGCCUAAUACAUGCAAGUCGAGCGAACAGACGAGGAGCUUGCUCCUCUGACGUUAGCGGCGGACGGGUGAGUAACACGUGGAUAACCUACCUAUAAGACUGGGAUAACUUCGGGAAACCGGAGAUAAUACCAGAUCAUAUAUUGUACCGCAUGGUUCAAUAGUGAAAGACGGUUUUGCUGUCACUUAUAGAUGGAUCCGCGCCGCAUUAGCUAGUUGGUAAGGUAACGGCUUACCAAGGCAACGAUGCGUAGCCGACCUGAGAGGGUGAUCGGCCACACUGGAACUGAGACACGGUCCAGACUCCUACGGGAGGCAGCAGUGGGGAAUCUUCCGCAAUGGGCGAAAGCCUGACGGAGCAACGCCGCGUGAGUGAUGAAGGUCUUCGGAUCGUAAAACUCUGUUAUUAGGGAAGAACAAAUGUGUAAGUAACUAUGCACGUCUUGACGGUACCUAAUCAGAAAGCCACGGCUAACUACGUG